GCCUAUCUUUCUGUCGGGGACGGGCUCUUGGGCUUCAUUGUCCGGGACUCGGAGUCGACGUGGUUACUUUGAGUAAAUUAGAGUGUUCAAAGCAAGCGUUCGCUGUGAAUACAUUAGCAUGGAAUAACACGAUAGGACUCUGGCUUAUCUUGUUGGUCUGUAAGACCGGAGUAAUGAUUAAGAGGGACAGUCGGGGGCAUUCGUAUUUCAUUGUCAGAGGUGAAAUUCUUGGAUUUAUGAAAGACGAACUUCUGCGAAAGCAUUUGCCAAGGAUGUUUUCAUUAAUCAAGAACGAAAGUUGGGGGCUCGAAGACGAUUAGAUACCGUCGUAGUCUCAACCAUAAACGAUGCCGACUAGGGAUUGGCAGGUGUUUCGUUGAUGACCCUGCCAGCACCUUAUGAGAAAUCAAAGUUUUUGGGUUCCGGGGGGAGUAUGGUCG
rnacentral:rRNA from 1 species